ensembl:lncRNA
AUUUGCCAAUACAAUCAUUAGACACAGAAACAGGACAAAACAUUAGACUCGGAGUGUUAAACAUUUCCCAGGAAUUUCUUCUGCACAGAUCAAGAGUUUUCAUCUGGGACACAAGAGAACGUGCAGCGUGGGUUACAGUCUUACUGAAAUCAGGACCGUUCAGUACCGUGUCCAGGGUUCUGUAGUGUCUCAGUCCCGACAGAGAGCCACGGUUCUAACACUUCAAAAUCAUUGUAAUCUAGUUAGAAUUCAUUCCCCACAGCAGCUCUGACAGCAGUGCAGGUUUAUAUCUCAAUGCGCUCGUCCUAAUACGUUAUCGUUUCCAUAGCAACACCCCGUUCACAGGGACAUGUACGGCGGAUGUUCCACCAUUUAAAAAGCGCAGAUGUGGUGAAGUUUUCCUAAAGAAAGGAGACAAUCGGUGCGUUUACACGGACAACGAUGAUCUGUUAUGAAUCCGAUUAAUACGAUACUCUGAUUAAGACACUAGCAUGUAAUCAGACACUAUUGAUGACCUUAAUCCGAUUAAAGUCACACUCGAAGUGAACACUAAUGGAAUUAAGACGUGUGGAGUAUUUCCUGUUUUAGUCGCAUUAUCGACGUGCGUUACAGACGUGUACACACCUUAAUCACACUAUUAACGCCGUGUGAGUUUUCACCCGCAUCGUGCGACAGGACACGAUCACACACGGCAGCGCUCGACUGUUUUACAGCAAACAAGAGAGCACGGCCGCGUCCCAAACCGUGUACUUACCGGCUAUAGGCCUGUAAUUAGAGGAAAUAAUGUGGAUACUAUAUAGACGGUAAGUAUGCGAUUUGGGACACACCUACGGCUUCAAGCGGUCGUCUGUUUGCACGUACAGCACGACAAUAAUUAACUGCACUUAAAGCGUUCGUAAAAAAAUAAAUAAAUAAAAACACCCAAAACUGUAUACGGUCCCAUAACGAAGACCAACUGUAAGUUGAUACGUGAAAUUCUGGAGGGACGUCAGACGGCGUGGCGCGGUGACGUAAUGACGCGGGCUGUUAAUCUAAUUAUGUUCUAUAACAUGUAAAACGGGAACAUGACAGGAGUAUUCUAAAAGCGACUCAUAUAAACAACCUUAAUCACAUUAUUAUCUUACUCAGAGUAAGCUCAAUAAUCAGAUUACUGCUGUCCAUGUAAACGCAGGUAUUUAUUUAACAGUUAAGGAAGGAGUCUCCAGUGUCAGCGCAUUGUGACAGUCAGGGAUCGACGGUUAUAGCUGCUGUGAUGAAAACGGGUUUUUGUAGAAAAUCGAGGUGUAAAGUAAGACCCGUCGUUCUGUAACACAUAAAGGCGAGUCACUGCUGUGGAGUCAGAGGAAUAAAACACGCCGUGUUGCGCUGUUCGGGAAAAGAACUUGGGAACGGUAACAGGCACUCCAAAUGGAAAGUGUUCGAUUCCUUCGGUACUCCUGCGCUCAGGCUGCACUUGGUGAAUGUGGAUCAAUAAAAGAGUGUUAAAUGUAGAGGUACAUGAUGUAUAGAUGUAGUAGAGUACACAGAUAUAGAUACGAUAUAUAAACGGAGACUGGUGCGCCCAGUCCUCUGUAAAACCCCAGUAUCAAGGUUUCUCCCAAAAUAAAAAAGUGCAACAGGUCGUCUGCCUGUUUGUCGUCGAGUACCGCGUUCUUUAUUCUAAAUAAAAUGUGUUCAUGUCUCGUAGGACAGACAUUCUGAAACGCAGACAUGGCUGUCGAGUGUAAACGCUGUACAUCACAGUACACGGAUGCGACACGUACACACUCGAUAAUUCCAUUACCGUUAUAUACUUAUACAUAUAUAUAUAUAACUAAUACAUUCUGCUAAAGACCAGCUCCAGCUCGCUAACGUCGCGCUCACACAUGCUACAGCGCUAAACACGGAUCAUUACUAACAAAACAUUAUGAAAUAAAACUGCAUUUCCACCGCACAAAGGAACAAAACUUUCAGCACCCGUGCUGGACGUUUUCUUUCUGGUUCCUUUUAAAAAUGGGCGCCAAUGGUAACUAACAGGUCUCGGGGGCGGAGCUAACAGCGCCGGUCAUCACUGAUUGGUGCAGCACCACAGAGCCGAUCAUUCAGACAGAGCGGCCAUUUUAUAAAGGACGUGAAUCUGUUGAGCGUGACAGUGUUUGAGUACUUUGUUACCGUUAGAGUACGGACACUGUAAUCAUACCGGAUCAGAUACCGGAGAUAAAAACGUAUAAACCCCGUAGAGUCGUGUAACAAAUAUAACUAUCAUUUUAAUACGUGUACGUGUACAUUUUAAUACGUUUUUUUAACGUAUGUGGAUAAAAGUCAGCGUUGUGUGGAAGUCAGUGUGGACGGGGACGUAUUUUAUAUCCUGUACACGCGUCACGUGUUCCAGCAGUUAUUUAAAACACCUCACUUACAAUUUGCUCAGUUUAAAACUUUCAAUCAACGAUGGUUUCAGCAUCGUAUCGUAUCCGUACUCAAGGUUUCAGCAUCGGACCGAACCAGCUCUACUUUGAAUCCGCUGUGUUGUGUAGCUUCUCGAGGGUUUAAGCCCCUGACCCCCGAAGACUCGUCAGUUCCUGCUUUUUAUUUCCGGAGUACGGUGGAAACGAACACGGAGAAAUAAAAGGCACUGAAAUAUAAUGGCACGCUAUCCGGAGGUGUCCUCCUCACGUCCUGUUUAAAGAUAAAAUCUUAACAUCAUCUUCAACACGUAGUAAACAUUAAAAACCGUAUCAAAUGUAUUAGUGACCUCUGUAUGUAUAAAGAUUAAACACAGUGAGUAUAAAAGUGUAAUAAAACUCCUGGUAACAGAGUCUGAUUAGAAGAAGAAGAAGAAGAAGAAGGCAGGAUGGUGAAGCACCGAGACGACGGCGUUAACUCUGUACCCUUAAACGAGAAGGCGAGACGUCUGCUGAGACGAUACGGACACGUUAAUUAUCCACGUUCAGUGACUUCCUGUCGAUCUUUCAGUCUAGACUCUCGUACACGGCCAUGUCGCGCCUCUGUUUCUUCCGUUUACGUCGUUUCAGUACCUUUUGAUUCCAAUCUUAUUCGUGAAAAAUGUGUUUCUAUGGUGAACGUGGACAUUUAUGAGAGUCUCGCUUAUUUCGGAAUUAGUGUAAAAAUACUACGGUGGAAGUUGGAUUAGACACGGAGAGACUGAGAUUCGGAUUAGACACGGAGAGACUGAGAUUCGGAUUAGACACGGAGAGACUGAGUGUUCCGUACACUCAGCUCCUCGUCUCAGCAGACUGCCCCCCCCCCCUCCCCCUCUGAACGCAUGCUGGUGUUAAAGCUUCACACGCUCGGCUUUGAGUCACUCAGGACUCUUUGCCCCGCCUCUUCCCAAGUAACUCUACAGUUCUGAAAUCUGAGAUGUAUCGUGACUCUGAUUAUCGCCCCGACUCCGACACACUCUCCUGCUACUGACUCUGCAGCCACUCGCUGCGGAUCUGAGCCACUUCCUUUCCGUACCAGUCGUGCAGUUUGGAGAAGCAGGUGGUCCCGGGAGACACGCCUACCCCUCCGUGAGCCACACCCAUUUCAGGGGGGCUUUUCCUGCGUGGAGGAACGGGUGGAGGACGCGCCUUCACGCCACACUCGCUCUCCAGGCCACCCCGUUAGCAGCCGUGGGUUUGUUCCAGGAGACGCUGUUGUCUCGUCCCGGAAUUCCGAGCUCGUCGGUUUGCGGUGGUUCGCUCCAGGAAAUUCCGUUCUCCCUGCCGGUUAGAUCAGGACGGAGCGCUGCACUUUCCUCCCCACCUCCUGCUGCUCCGUCCUCGUGCCUCUUCUGUGCCUCCUCCAGCUGCUUCUCGAGUUCACGCACCACCAGGCGCAGGUACUGGAAGCUAGCGCGCGCUAACGCCUUGGCCCAGUCCUCCAUCUCGGCCUGCGUGUCGGCGGCGAGCGUGUGCAUGUGGCUCGUGCCGAAGCGUACGGCGAAGGCGAAGUCGACGCGCUCGCUCUCGCACAGCUCCACCGUGCAGCCCUCCAGCACCACCAGGCCCACCGGCUCGCGCCUCCCGCGCUCCUCGAACAGGAACAGCAGGUUGGCUUUCAGAACGCACCAGCGCCGGUGGAACGUCCCGCUGCGCUCGCUCUUCUUCAUCAGGAAGCCCGAUUUAUCCGGGGGAACGCCACAGGUGGCGUAGUGCACCACGCUCCGCUCGUUUAGCUUCA